GACGAACGCUGGCGGCGUGCUUAACACAUGCAAGUCGAACGGAAAGGCCCUGCUUUUGUGGGGUGCUCGAGUGGCGAACGGGUGAGUAACACGUGAGUAACCUGCCCUUGACUUUGGGAUAACUUCAGGAAACUGGGGCUAAUACCGGAUAGGAGCUCCUGCUGCAUGGUGGGGGUUGGAAAGUUUCGGCGGUUGGGGAUGGACUCGCGGCUUAUCAGCUUGUUGGUGGGGUAGUGGCUUACCAAGGCUUUGACGGGUAGCCGGCCUGAGAGGGUGACCGGCCACAUGGGGACUGAGAUACGGCCCAGACGCCUACGGGAGGCAGCGGUGGGGAAUAUUGCACAAUGGGCGGAAGCCUGAUGCAGCAAUGCCGCGUGCGGGAUGACGGCCUUCGGGUUGUAAACCGCUUUCGCCUGUGACGAAGCGUGAGUGACGGUAAUGGGUAAAGAAGCACCGGCUAACUACGUG
rnacentral:rRNA from 1 species